UACGAAGGGGGCUAGCGUUGCUCGGAAUGACUGGGCGUAAAGGGCGCGUAGGCGGUUCGUACAGUCAGACGUGAAAUUCCCGGGCUCAACCUGGGGGCUGCGUUUGAUACGUGCGGGCUUGAGUUCGGAAGAGGGUCGUGGAAUUCCCAGUGUAGAGGUGAAAUUCGUAGAUAUUGGGAAGAACACCGGUGGCGAAGGCGGCAUCCUGGACCGGCAUUGACGCUGAGGCGCGAAAGCCAGGGGAGCAAACGGG
rnacentral:rRNA from 1 species